rnacentral:rRNA from 1 species
AUUGAACGCUGGCGGCAUGCCUUACACAUGCAAGUCGAACGGUAACGGGCCUUCGGGUGCCGACGAGUGGCGAACGGGUGAGUAAUGCAUCGGAACGUACCUUUCAGUGGGGGAUAACGUAGCGAAAGUUACGCUAAUACCGCAUAUUCUGUGAGCAGGAAAGCAGGGGAUCGCAAGACCUUGCGCUGAUUGAGCGGCCGAUGUCAGAUUAGCUAGUUGGUGAGGUAAAGGCUCACCAAGGCGACGAUCUGUAGCGGGUCUGAGAGGAUGAUCCGCCACACUGGAACUGAGACACGGUCCAGACUCCUACGGGAGGCAGCAGUGGGGAAUUUUGGGACAAUGGGGGGCAACCCUGAUCCAGCCAUGCCGCGUGAGUGAAGAAGG